CCUCCGCAUCCGGCUUCCGGUUUAUGGGGCGUGCUGCUAUUGAUCUUCCGGCGGGCAACUUGCCUGCUUCCUGGCUUCCCACUCCACCUGUUUCGGCUGGUUGUUCUUCCCAAAAUGAGUUUGGUGAUUAAAAAUCUGCAGCGGGUGGUCCCCAUCAGAAGAGUGCCGCUUCGCAGGAAGAUGGAUAUGGUCCGGGGUAUUUUAGGAGUGAAGAAUUUUGACCUGGGCAUUAUCUGUGUCGACAACAAGAGUAUUCAGCACAUUAAUAGGAUCUACAGGAAGAAAAACGUCCCCACUGACGUGCUUUCUUUCCCAUUUCAUGAGAAUCUGAAAGCAGGGGACUUUCCUCAGCCAUACUCGUCAGAUGAUUAUAAUUUGGGAGAUGUUUUCUUAGGAGUGGAGUAUAUCUUCCAGCAGUGCAAAGAAAAUGAAGAUUACUAUGACAUCCUGACGGUGACAGCCACCCAUGGACUCUGUCACCUUCUGGGCUUCACCCACAACUCCGAGGCUGAGUGGCAAAAGAUGUACAACCAGGAGAAGCUGGUCCUGGAGGAACUAAAUCGCUACACCGGAUCUAGGCUCCACCCCCUGAGCAGGGACCUCUACUAAUGCCUCGAUGCCCCGAGAUAGAGACGUUGAUGGACAGAGUCCUGUCCCUCCAGAGCGGAUCUCUGUUGGUGAUGCUGUCCUGGAUGGCAUCAGCCCACACUAAAGCUUAAUUCCGUACCCGGGAGCACCACCCCAUCCCCAGCCAGUGGCUAAAUCUCAGCAUCCAAACCUACCUGGAGGGUAGCAGCAUGUGGCCCCGUGGGCCCAGGAGGCAGGGCUUUGAGCAUCAUGUUCUGCAUGAGGAUCUGGUGCAUCUGUGCAUUCUGCAUCAGCAUCAUCUCCACCAUGUCUGAAAGGAGAUCAGGUCUUACUCAUGUUGGCUGUCACCAGGGUAAGGUGCCCGGCUUAUCCUUUGGCCUCCACUAGUGCAGGGUGGUGUGUGUGUACGCCCCCACCCCCAUGGCUAAAUAAAUACAAUUGAAAAUAAAACACGUGGCUGGAGAGAUGACUCAGUGGCUGUUCUUUCAGAGGACCUGGGAUUGAUUCCAUGGACUGCUAACAACCAUCUGUAAUUCCAGUUCCAGGGGACCCGAUGCCCUCUUCUGGCCUCUGAGAGCAACACAUGAGCAUGGUACACACUGAUACAUGCAGGCAAAAUACUUGUACACAAAAUAAAAAUCCUUUUUCAAAAUGA